rnacentral:rRNA from 1 species
AUUGAACGCUGGCGGCAUGCCUUACACAUGCAAGUCGAACGGCAGCACGGGUGCUUGCACCUGGUGGCGAGUGGCGAACGGGUGAGUAAUACACCGGAACGUACCUUAUCGUGGGGGAUAACGCAGCGAAAGCUGUGCUAAUACCGCAUACGCCCUGAGGGGGAAAGCGGGGGAUCGAAAGACCUCGCGCGAUUAGAGCGGCCGAUGCCUGAUUAGCUUGUUGGUGGGGUAAAAGCCCACCAAGGCGACGAUCAGUAGCUGGUCUGAGAGGACGAUCAGCCACACUGGGACUGAGACACGGCCCAGACUCCUACGGGAGGCAGCAGUGGGGAAUUUUGGACAAUGGGGGCAACCCUGAUCCAGAAAUGCCGCGUGAGUGAAGAAGGCCUUCGGGUUGUAAAGCUCUUUUGUCAGGGAAGAAACACCGGCUCUAACACAGUCCGGGAAUGACGGUACCUGAAGAAUAAGCACCGGCUAACUACGUGCCAGCAGCCGCAGAAA